rnacentral:tRNA from 1 species
GUCGGGGUGGCGGAAUUGGUAGACGCGCAUGAUUCAGGUUCAUGUGGGUAAUUCCUUGAGGGUUCGAGUCCCUUCCUCGACA